CAUGGUCAAGGAACGUUAAUAUAUUUUCUGAUGAGUAGGAACUGCUAAUCUGAUUCUUUGCCACAAUUCUAGGAGACUACAACGUUCCAAUUAUACUUGACCAUGUAUAUAUAUAUACACAUAUAAGUGAGAAUAAAAACAGAAAAAACACUGAUGCGUAAAACAAAGUUCAAUCAUUCUCUUAAAAACCAGUUCUAUUAUUUCCUUCCCUCACAUAUUGUGUCUCUGAGUUAAACAUCAACCUGUUACAAAUUCAUUCUUGCCAGUUCUGUUACCUCAUUGAGAAGGGUCUGUUAAAUCCUGGGGGGUUUGCCUUUAACCGCGGAUAAAUCCUUGAGGACAGUGCGUUCAGCACGUCUCAGAUCAAAUAUUGUUCUUCUUGUUUUUUAUUCUUUCUUUGCAGGUUUGUUUCAUAGACACAAGAAGCAGAGCAACAAUAAUCUUGCUUGCAGGUUCCUUAUAACAACAUCAGGAGCUUUGUAACAUCGGCAGGUUCCUAAUAACAACGCAGAUUCGCCGCAACAAGGUAAAUUU
rnacentral:lncRNA from 1 species